GGUCAGGCAGAAAAUUUCAGUGAGUAUGCAGAGAAUCAGGGCUCAGUAGCCAAUAAGAUCAGUGUAUUUCAAAUGUUCAGGCGGUUUUCUUGAUGUAAACAUGCAGCCAUGGGGAUUUAACCUUCUGAAGAUUCCUAUUGUUUUGCUGGAUAUAAUCAGGAUCUCUCAUGGUUUGAAGAUGGCUUUAAUAUUCAAUGGUGAGGGAGAAAACAAGAUCUGAAAGUAACAGUUGGAGCAUAUAAAGCCGACCUUACCCUCAAAAAAGAUUGUGUGACGUCAUAGUUGCUGGACAGAAUACAUUUGGAUCUAGACUGGAAAAAAAGGCAUCAUCAAUCCAGCAAGUUGAGUCUGUGUUAAAAAAGUGAAAAUAACAAUUGACAUAAAACUCACAGACGAUUCCAAAAACACUAACUUUUAUUUUCAAAUAAGUCUUUGUUAGGACUAAGUGUCUCUUCAUUUCAUGAUAAAUUUAUAUUGCAGAUUAUAUCAUUAUAAUCAGUGUAUUGAUUUUAAAAUCAGAGAAAAAUAAACUCAUGGAAAUGUAAAUAAAGUAUAUAAUAUAAUA